rnacentral:rRNA from 1 species
CCUACGGGAGGCAGCAGUAGGGAAUCUUCCACAAUGGGCGAAAGCCUGAUGGAGCAACGCAGCGUGGGUGAAGAAGGUCCUCGGAUCGUAAAACCCUGUUGUUAGAGAAGAAAGUGCGUGAGCGUAACUGUUCACGUUUCGACGGUAUCUAACAAGAAAGCCACGGCUAACUACGUGCCAGCCGCCGCGGUAAUACGUAGGUGGCAAGCGUUAUCCGGAUUUAUUGGGCGUAAAGGGAACGCAGGCGGUCUUUUAAGUCUGAUGUGAAAGCCUUCGGCUUAACCGGAGUAGUGCAUUGGAUACUGGGAGACUUGAGUGCAGAAGAGGAGAGUGGAACUCGAUGUGUAGCGGUGAAAUGCGUAGAUAUAUGGAAGAACACCAGUGGCGAAGGCAGCUCUCUGGUCUGUAACUGACGCUGAGGUUCGAAAGCGUGGGUAGCAAACAGGAUUAGAUACCCUGGUAGUC